CCUCCAGUAGCACCUUAGAGACCAACUAAGUUUGUUAUUGGUAUGAGCUGUGCAUGCACAUGAAAGCUCAUACCAAUAACAAACUUAGUUCUCCAAGGUGCUACUGGAAG